CCUACGGGUGGCAGCAGUGAGGAAUAUUGGUCAAUGGGCGCGAGCCUGAACCAGCCAAGUAGCGUGAAGGAUGACUGCCCUACGGGUUGUAAACUUCUUUUAUAAAGGAAGAAUAUUGACUACGUGUAGUCAGAUGCCCGUACCUUAUGAAUAAGCAUCGGCUAACUCCGUGCCAGCAGCCGCGGUAAUACGGAGGAUCCGAGCGUUAUCCGGAUUUAUUGGGUUUAAAGGGUGCGUAGGCGGUAUUUUAAGUUAGUGGUAAAACGUCGGGGCUUCACCUUGAUUGGCCUUUAAAACUGGAGUACUAGAGUACAGACGAGGUAGGCGGAAUAAGUUAAGUAGCGGUGAAAUGCUUAGAUAUAACUUAGAACCCCGAUAGCGAAGGCAGCUUACCAGACUGUGGCUGACGCUGAAGCACGAGAGCGUGGGUAGCGAACAGGAUUAGAUACCCGUGUAGUC
rnacentral:rRNA from 1 species